AGUGAACGCUGGCGGCGUGCUUAACACAUGCAAGUCGAACGAGAACGGAUUAUAGCUUGCUAUAAUUGUCAGCUAAGUGGCGCACGGGUGAGUAAUGUAUAGAUAACCUGCCCUCUAGAAAGGAAUAACAGUUGGAAACGACUGCUAAUGCCCUAUAUGCCUUUAAUACAUAAGUAUGCAAGGGAAACGCUUUAGUGCUAGAGGAUGGGUCUGUAUGGUAUCAGCUAGUUGGUGAGGUAAUGGCUCACCAAGGCUAUGACGCCUAACUGGUUUGAGAGGAUGAUCAGUCACACUGGAACUGAGACACGGUCCAGACUCCUACGGGAGGCAGCAGUGGGGAAUAUUGCCCAAUGGACGAAAGUCUGAUGCAGCAACGCCGCGUGGAGGAUGACACAUUUCGGUGCGUAAACUCCUUUUAUAUAGGAAGAUAAUGACGGUACUAUAUGAAUAAGCACCGGCUAACUCCGUGCCAGCCGCCGCGGUAA
rnacentral:rRNA from 1 species